CCCUUAGAUGUUCUGGGCCGCACGCGUGCUACACUGAGUGGAUCAGCGGGUCAGGUUGCGCGAAAGUGUUUCCUAAUCUUUAAAUCCGCUCGUGAUGGGGAUUGACGGUUGCAAUUUUCCGUCAUGAACGAGGAAUACCUUGUAAGCGCGGGUCAUCAUCCCGCGCUGAAUACGUCCCUGCCCUUUGUACACACCGCCCGUCGCUCCUACCGAUUGAGUGGUCCGGUGAGGCUUUGGGAUCUGAGCGGAAAGAGCGUUUCGCAGUUUCUGCCCGGAAAACUCAGUCGAACCUUAUCAUUUAGAGGAAGGAGAAGUCGUAACA
rnacentral:rRNA from 1 species